rnacentral:rRNA from 1 species
ACAAGGCAGCAAUGCUGAGGUGGCGACCGGCGCACGGGUGCGUAACGCGUAUCCAACCUUCCCGUUANCUUGGCAUAGCCUUUCGAAAGAGAGAUUAAUUCCGAAUAACGUAGUAACGUUGCCUGAUGAUACUACGAAAGCUCCGGGCGGGAGAGGGAUGGGGGAUGCGUUCCAUUAGGUAGUAGGCGGGGUAACGGCCACCUAGCCAACGAUGGAUAGGGGUUCUGAGAGGAAGGUCCCCCACAUUGGAACUGAGACACGGUCCAAACUCCUACGGGGAGGCAGCAGUGAGGAAUAUUGGUCAAUGGACGGAAGUCUGAACCAGCCAAGUAGCGUGAAGGAUGACUGCCCUAUGGGUUGUAAACUUCUUUUGUCGUGGAACAAAAACCUGCCACGUGUGGCAUUUUGCGUGUACACGUUGAAUAAGCAUCGGCUAACUCCGUG